AUUGAACGCUGGCGGCAGGCCUAACACAUGCAAGUCGAGCGGAUGAAGGGAGCUUGCUCCUGGAUUCAGCGGCGGACGGGUGAGUAAUGCCUAGGAAUCUGCCUGGUAGUGGGGGAUAACGUCCGGAAACGGGCGCUAAUACCGCAUACGUCCUGAGGGAGAAAGUGGGGGAUCUUCGGACCUCACGCUAUCAGAUGAGCCUAGGUCGGAUUAGCUAGUUGGUGGGGUAAAGGCCUACCAAGGCGACGAUCCGUAACUGGUCUGAGAGGAUGAUCAGUCACACUGGAACUGAGACACGGUCCAGACUCAUACGGGAGGCAGCAGUGGGGAAUAUUGGACAAUGGGCGAAAGCCUGAUCCAGCCAGGCCGCGUGUGUGAAGAAGGUCUUCGGAUUGUAAAGCACUUUAAGUUGGGAGGAAGGGCAGUAAGUUAAUACCUUGCUGUUUUGACGUUACCAACAGAAUAAGCACCGGCUAACUUCGUG
rnacentral:rRNA from 1 species